UCGGAGUUAUCGGUGUAUUUUUAUUCCGUCAUCGCAAAACAGAAGUUUCGGAUAACUGGGUGACUUCUGAAACGCUAACCGGAUUCCAACGGGGGAAUGCAGAUCGCAAAUAAUCAGAUACUAAAGCAGAAUCGAUGCCGGCGAAAGAAUUGUUUAUAUCCAGAUGGUUUAUCGAAGGAAAAAAACAACCUUUUUCAGCACUAAGCGGAUACAAAAAGUGGGCAUUUUUUCUCAAAAUUGUAUAUUGCCAUCGAGUGGAAGCCGAUCAACAGGUCUAAAAAUGCAGACGAAACAAAAUUUGGAAACAAAUGGUUUACCGACGGAAAAGCAGAAUAGGAACAGUCUAUACAAACAUGGCCACAGAAUAGUAAUGUUGUAAGUUCAAAAUGGAA